AGGCUUUACAAAGAAGCUUGGUGCUGGCAUCUGCUCAGCUUUUGGGGAGGCCUCAGGAAGGUUGCAAUCAUGGUGGACGGUGAAGUAGAAGCAGCGUCUCACAUGGCCAGAGUGGGAGCAAGAGAGAGAGUUGGGGGGAGGUGCCACACACUUUUAAACAGCCAGAUCUCAUGAGACCUCACUCACUAUCCAAUUCCUAAUUCCAAUUCCAACAGUAAAUUAUUGUUUUGGAGGACACGCACCUCAUCAUGAGGUGCAUCAUGACAGCACUAAGGCAUAAGGGAUCUGUCUUCAUGACCAAAUCACCUCUCAGCAGGCCCCAUCUCCAACACUGGGGAUAUUUCAACAUGAGAUUUGGUGGGCACACAGAUCCAAACCAUAUCAUUAACAUCUUAUGUUGGCAUGGCACAUUUGUUAUAACUAAUAUCCCAAUAUGGAUGCCUUGUUAUUAACCGAAGUCCAUACUUUAUUCACAUGUCCUUAGUUGUUACUUAAUUUCCUUUUAUUUUCUAGAAUCCCAUCCAGGAUAUAUAACAUUUAGUCAUCAUGCCUCUUUAGGUUCCCCUAGACUGUGAGUUUCUCAGACUUUCCUUGUUUUGACGGCUGUGACAAUUUUGAGGUGUAUUGCUCAGGUAUUUUGUACAAUGCCCCUCAAUUAGAAUUCGUCUGAUGUUUUUCUCAUGAUUAGACUGGGAUUCUGUGUGUUUUGGGAGGAAGAUCACAGAGGUAAAGUGGCAUUUUCAUUCCAUCAUAUCAAGACACAUGCUGGUAGCAUGACUUAUCACUGUUGAUGUUGACAUUGGUCACGUGGCCGUCUGGCACUGUUUGUCUAGUUUCCCCACUGAGAAGUUACUCCCUCCAUUCCCCACUUUCCACACUGUGCUCUUUAGAAGGAAGUCACUAUACACAGGCCAUACUUCAGAAGUGAGGAGUUAUGUGCUGGGGAAGGGAAGGGCUGGAGGCAUGGUGGCAGGCGGCCAAGGGGCGGUGGCAGUGGCAUCCCCGCACCUUGGAGCGCAGCCUGAGAGCCGCAUGCACCUUCCUGCCUCCUCCUCCUGCUGUCCUGGGGUGCUGCCAUGACGCCCCAUCUGCUCAACUUCAAGAAGGGGUGGAUGUCGAUCUUGGAUGAGCCUGGAGAGCCUCCCUCCCUCUGGCUCACCACCACCUCUACUUGGCAGUGGAAGAAGCAUUGGUUUGUGCUAACAGACUCAAGCCUCAAAUAUUACAGACACUCCACUGCCAAGGAGGCAGAUGAGCUGGAUGGUGAGAUCAGCCUGCGUUCCUGUACAGAUGUUACUGAGUACGCAGUGCAGCACAACUAUGGCUUCCAGAUACACACCAAGGAUGUUGUCUAUGCCUCGUUGGCCAUGACAUCAGGCAUCCGGCAGAACUGGAUUAAGGCUUUGAGAAAGACCGUGCGUCCAACUUCAGCCCCAGAUGUAACCAAGCUCUCGGACUGUAACAAGGAGAACGUGCUGCACAGCUGUGGCACCCAGAAGGGUCCCCUGAAGGCAAGGGAGCAGUGGACGGGCCCUGAGGUCAUCAGCAGGGUGGCCCUCAGAAGGUGGAUAGGCAGCAGCAGGCCCUGGACUACGUGGAGCUCUCCCCACUGACCCAGGCCUACCCAGUGGGCCCGCACCCUGUCCUGUGCUCCUGACUGCCUGGCCAAGCAGGAGGAGCUGGAGCGGGACCUGGCCCAGCACUCCAAGGAGGGGCACAAGUGGUUCGAGGCCGCAGAUAGUAGGGCCCCAGAGGUGCCUGCCGCUGAGAGGCCGUGCUGGGGCCUGGGUGCCCCCCUGACUGAGAACCAGCAGAGCCACCUCAGUGAGGAGAUUGAGAAGAAGUGGCAGGAACUGGAGAAGCUGCCUUUGUGGGAGAAUAAUUGGGUGCCACUCACUGCCCUGCUCAGCCAAAGCCACGGAGAGAGCCAGGGGCCCCAAAGUGACAGCCAUGAGGCACUGGAGAAGGAGGUUCGGGCUCUUCGGGCUCAGCUGGAGGCAUGGCAUGUCCAAGGGGAGGCUCCUCAGUGCACCAGGAUCCCCAGAGGGUGACCACAUUUCCCCAGGCUACAUCUCACAGGAGGCAUGUGAGCGCAGCCUGGCAGAGAUGGAGGCCUCGCACCAGCAGGUGAUGGAGGAGAUGUAGUGGCACCACAAGUGGGAGCUGCAGCAGCUACAGCAGGAGAAGAAGUGGCUUCUGGGUGAGGAGACAGCAGCCACGGCCUCAGCCAUUGAAGCGAUGAAGGAGGCCCACCAGGAAGAGCUGAGCCAACAGCUGAGCAAAACAUGGCGGCUCCAGCAGGGCCCAGAUGGCCUCCGGAAGCAACACCAGUCAGAUGUGGAGGUACUGAAGCGGGAGCUGCAGGUGCUAUUGGAGCAGUACUCACAGAAGUGCCUGGAGAUUGGGAUGCUGAUGCAGCAUGCCGAAGAGUGCUGGCACACCUUGCACCACUACCAGCAGGAGGGCCAGGAGCUGCUGCACCACCACCAGGAGCUGCAUGCCCGCCUGUCAGAGGAGAUAGACUGGCUGUGCAGCUUCAUCACCUCACAGGGCAUGGGCAAUGGCUGCGGGCACAGCAACAAGCAGAGCUCCUGCGAGCUGGAGGUGCUGCUUCGUGUAAAAGAGAACGAACUCCAGUACCUGAAGAAGGAGGUGCAGUGCCUCCAGGAUGAGCUCCAGGUGAUGCAGAAGGAUAAGUGCUUCACCUCGGGAAAGUACCAGGACAUCUAUAUGGAGCUGAGCCAUAUCAAGAUGCGGUCAGAACAGGAGAUCAAGCAGCUGAAGGAGCACCUGCGCCUUGCCAUGGCCGCUCUGCAAGAGAAGGACUCCAUGUGCAGCAGCUUGGCUGAGUAGAGGUCCUGCCUAGCUGCAGAGCCUCCAGCCUGAAGGACCAACCACCCUCCUUCCUUGCUGGAUGGAAGUCCAAAGCCAAGUUUCUCCUCACCCUCUGUGGGCCACAUGUACACUUGCACCCACCACACACACACACAAACACACACACACACACACACACACACCUGCAUGCACCCACACACACACUCUGCAUAUCUGAGCGUGCCCCCCUUGCACUGGAUCUUACCUUGCACCUUCUUCAGGAUUUUAUAUGUGAAGAGAUUUUUAUAUAGAUUUUUUUUCCAAAACACUUUAUACUUUAAAAAAAGAAAAAAGCAAUUCCCGGUGGCUGUGUGCCUCCAACCCUGGCCCCUAGCCACCCUCUGCUUGGGCUUCUGGGCUGGUGGCCCUGCCCCAGGGGUCUGGCAGAGGCCCAGGCAGUGGCCAUGGCAGGCUGUCUUUGCAGGGGAGAGGCGGGAGCCUGCCACCCUCUUCCUACCCUACCUCCUUCUAACACUUCCUACCCCACACGGCCCAUACCAUGGGGCUCCAGACAGGGAGUCAGCAGCUGCCCUCAUGGUCCCAUAGCCUCCUCUGAGGCUGUGCCAUGCAAAAGGUGUUUCUCUCCUGCUCCCUGAAGCUCUUAACUUAAUAAAACAUUCCAGAAAA